rnacentral:misc_RNA from 1 species
CGUUCGAACAUUUCACUAUUUUAUGUUUAUAUUUGUUCAAUUUCCUAUCAAAACAAAUAUUUUCUCGUAUAAGACGAACAUCGAUUCCCAAUGAAGAAAAAGUUUAUUAACUAAGGGAGCCUACAGAGCUUUUCGAGUGGGCUCGAUGUUUUAAAGCAACACUAUGGAGCUCGAAACGACAAGCAGUAGCAGAAAGAGAGGACGACAAAAAUCAUUUCAAGAAUUUGACANCGAUGAUGAUCAGUCUGAGGCUGGGACUGUUGACUCUAGGGAUUUGGGAAGCCGUGGUUCAGGCAAGGGUCAUGUCAGGCAAAACCACAGUGAGAUUGAGAAAAGAAGGCGUGACAAAAUGAACACCCACAUUCAUGAACUGUCAACAAUGAUCCCUAUGUGCACUGUCAUGUCACGCAAGCUAGACAAACUGACUGUACUCAGGAUGGCUGUCCAGCACAUGCGAGCUCUAAAAGGUGAAGCGUCUUCCACGGAAUCCAACUGCAAGCCUUCAUUCCUGUCAGAUGAAGAUUUUAAGAAUCUCAUCUUGGAGGCAGCUGAUGGGUUUUUGUUCGUUGUGGCUUGUGACAGAGGUCGAAUCUUGUAUGUUUCAGAUUCUGUCCAAAACGUACUCUCGCAGUCUCAGUCUGAUUUGGUUGGUCAAAGUUUUUUCGAUCUUGUUCACCCUAAAGAUGUUACCACCGUGAAGGAUCAACUCUCUUGUUUUGAUACAGUACCACGGGAAAAGGCUGCAGAAAAAACCGCUUCUUCGCCGAAACAGGAAGAUAAACCAACAAACAAACCUAUGUGCACUGGUGCACGUCGAUCUUUCCUCUGCCGCAUGAAAAUUGGCAGUAAAUCGACAAAAAAAGGAAAAGGAGUCGAAGAUGGUAACACUGACUUCUGUAUAAUGAAUCGAAAGAGUAAAAGUAAAGCGCUGUCUACAAAUGAUAAGAAGAAACAUAUUGUGGUUCAUUUCACUGGUUACUUAAAAUCAUGGCCACCUUCUGGGUAUUCAUUCGACGAUGAAGACGAAGAGCAAGACUCUAGGAACUUGAGCUGUCUUGUUGCUGUGGGCAGACAGGUUAGAAUAGCUGAUGAAAAUACCGACGCAAACAAUCAAGAGUUUCCCGAUGAAUUCGUGUCUCGGCAUAGCACAGAUGGGAAGUUCAUCCACGUCGAUCAAAGAAUCACAGCCAUGUGUGGGUACCUACCACAUGAGUUGAUAGGGAACUCUGGAUACGAUUACUUUCACCCAGAUGACCUUGACAUCACCGCGAAAAGCCAUAAGAGUACCUUACUAGGAAAGACUACCACCACCCUUCCCUACCGAUUUCUCUGUAAAGGAGGUCAUUAUAUUUACCUUUGUACUAAGUCCAAUGUCUUUCGAAAUCCUUGGACCAAAGAACUCGAGUUUAUUAUUUGUAUCAAUUCAAAAUAUGAUCCCGCAACAGACCAACCUACACGACCGACUUCCCUACAAAGUCAUCCACACCAAAGAUUGAUCCUGCCAGCUCCGCAGACAAUAGCAAGUGUCCAUGGAUCUGAUAGCACGUCAAGUCGUAGGUUGAACAUCAAAGAACUAAUGGCGACAAUACAAUCGCAACCACAAGAUCAAGUUAAGACAAACAUCGUACCUCGCCCGUUGGUGCCGCCGACCACAAGGGAAGAAGAUGAUCCUAAUGCAGAUCCAGCGGCUUCCAAGAUUGGCUCCCUCAUUGCUGAAACCAUACAUUGGCAGGAAACAGCAAGCAAAAGGCAACACACAUCAAUAAUUGGUAAUAAUUCAAUACCCAACACCCCCAUCGCCACCCAAUCCGAAUCGUCCUUCAGAAACAGCGACAGUUCAAGCUCCAUGAUUGACUUUAACAACAUCACAACGCCCAUGAACAUAAGCGCACCUAACUCUCAAGUCGGCAACAUGACGUCAUCAUUUCCAGGGGCUACCGCACCAGGGUUGCCAGAGAUAUCGCAGCCUCAUCUCUUGGAACAGUUGAUUGGAAUGCAACAAGCAAUUGAGUCGAUGGAGAGUCCGAUGCAACAAAGUGAAGAGAAUAUGGCAGUUUUUAUGAAUAUGCUUGAAGCAGAUGCCGGACUCGGUGGAGAUUUGAGNGAUUUCUUGUUUCAAGAGAACUCUUGAGCUUACGACCAUCGAUUUUACUGCAGUUUUCUAUGUUCUGCAAACUCGGUAGUCGCGAGCUGCAGACUAAAUUUGUUUUUUUCGCUGCCGUCAAUCAAAAAUAAUCAGUCGGUAGUUAAAUCCAUCCCAUUUUUCUUUUCAUUUGGCCAAAGAGUGAUAAAAUCUUUGNGUUAACUUUAGGCAGACACGGGUAGGAAACGCACUGCGCAUGCUCGGAAGUUAGGCGGGAAAUUCUUACGAAUUAUUGNUAAACUUCGUGGAAAGUUGGUGCUUAUUUUUCCUAACAUCACUUUAAAUGUUUGCUUUCCCUCGCCAAAUAACACUUAAUAAAAUUGGCAUUAUACAAACACAGCAAAAGCUCCAGUGGCUUUAUUAGUAAACACGACUCUUUGGCUUCUACCAAUAUCCCGCCGAACUUCUGAUCAUGCGCAGUACGUUUUUCACCCUGACCUUUUAUCCACACUAAUUCGUUUUCGAAGCGCUCCGUUUUCUUCUCACCCNAAACGCAUCGAAAACUUCGACCAAUGCUAUAUCAUCAUCUGCGCAUGCGAAAAACAGACGUGCCGGUGUAAAUGACGUCAACGUUUUCAAAAGGCUACGUUUUCUCUGUGUACACUAAUAUGAUAGGCCUCUGUUUACAAAUGCCUCCGCGGAGUCUGGAGAGUGUUUUCAAAUACAUGUAUGUCUUUUCGAUCGUUUUAGUGUCGACGCAAGGCCAAACCGCAUCCAAAAGCUUCCAUCUUCGACUUCAUUUUANUAUAUUUUUAUCGUGCAAUUAUUAUGUAAAUAGGACCUUUUUUUGAUAAUUUUUCCCGUGACGAAAAGUGUUAUCGUACGCGUUUUUAGGGGCGAAUUUUUUCAUAUUUAAUUUUUUACAUUUUUCUUUUUUCCAAUUUUAUUUACUGCACUUUUGCUAAGAUUUCAAAAAUAAUACGCCUUAAAUUCUUUAGUUCUUGAAUAGUUCUUGAACUUGUUCAAUAAAUUGUCAAUAUUUUAAAAACUAUAAAUGAAAAAUUUAUUUUAUAAAUUUACAAGAGAAAAAAAUAGGUACACUUGACAUCGAAAUAUCUAUUUUAUUCCUGCAAGCAACCAGUUGAACUUGAACAAAACCAGUUUAACUUGAUUAAAAUCAACGAAGAUUCGAUGACGUGCAAAUGUUACUUUGACGUCACAGUUUGUUUUGAGGUGGACACAAUGUUGAAGAAGAAUGAGAAUUUGAACUAAUUUUACUCUGCAAUCAAAUUGAUAGCUCUGAUAUUGUCUGGUUUUCAAACAUAAUAAACAAGUGCUUAUCCUAUAAUA